rnacentral:rRNA from 1 species
AGGACGAACGCUGGCGGCGUGCUUAACACAUGCAAGUCGAGCGGUAAGGCCUUUCGGGGUACACGAGCGGCGAACGGGUGAGUAACACGUGGGUGAUCUGCCCUGCACUUCGGGAUAAGCCUGGGAAACUGGGUCUAAUACCGGAUAUGACCUCCUAUCGCAUGGUGGGUGGUGGAAAGAUUUAUCGGUGCAGGAUGGGCCCGCGGCCUAUCAGCUUGUUGGUGGGCAAUGGCCUACCAAGGCGACGACGGGUAGCCGACCUGAGAGGGUGACCGGCCACACUGGGACUGAGACACGGCCCAGACUCCUACGGGAGGCAGCAGUGGGGAAUAUUGCACAAUGGGCGAAAGCCUGAUGCAGCGACGCCGCGUGAGGGAUGACGGCCUUCGGGUUGUAAACCGUCUUUCAGCAGGGACCGAAGCGCAAGUGACGUACCUGCAGAAGAGCACGCUAACACGUGCCAGCGAGCCGAC